rnacentral:rRNA from 1 species
UACGUAGGGGGCUAGCGUUGUCCGGAAUCAUUGGGCGUAAAGAGCGCGUAGGCGGCCCGGUAAGUCCGCUGUGAAAGUCAAAGGCUCAACCUUUGAAUGUCAGCGGAUACUGCCGGGCUAGAGUCCGGAAGAGGAGAGUGGAAUUCCUGGUGUAGCGGUGAAAUGCGCAGAUAUCAGGAAGAACACCAAUGGCGAAGGCAGCUCUCUGGGACGGUACUGACGCUGAGACGCGAAAGCGUGGGGAGCGAACAGG